rnacentral:rRNA from 1 species
CACGUAGGCGGAUUCCUAAGUCGGAGGUGAAAUCCUGGAGCUCAACUCCAGAACUGCCUUCGAUACUGGGAGUCUUCGAGUCCGGGAGAGGUGAGUGGAACUGCGAGUGUAGAGGUGAAAUUCGUAGAUAUUCGCAAGAACACCAGUGGCGAAGGCGGCUCACUGGCCCGGUACUGACGCUGAGGUGCGAAAGCGUGGGAGCAAACA